UCACCAUCUAUAAACAACACUCAGGGUACGUUUUAUAAGCCAUAUAAAAUACCCAAAUCAAAGUACAGUAUUUUUCUUUCCCAACAGUAUUCCAAAUUUAAUCAAUUCCGCUGAUAAAUUCCCAAAUUAUGGCCAAGCAAUAUUGAAGGUCCCUUCUGUAUUUGCGACUCUACGCUCAUAAUAGCUCCAUGCCGUGCUCGGAGCA
rnacentral:lncRNA from 1 species